UGGAGAUCCCUGUUUGCCUGAGGCUUUUAUGAGAAUUCUACAAGGGAAAACAGUCUUGAUGAUUACGGAAUUCUUUUAACAGUGAUAGUUCCUACUGAUACCAGUACUCAUAUUGCCAACCUGAGUACUCAAAACAGGCAAGACAAAAUCUAAUUUUGUACUUGGAAUUAGGUUGAUUGUAGUUAAAUGGGUCAGUAUUGCAAAAUCUCAAUUCUGAAGAUGAAUGCACUUCAUGUCUUGCAGUGACAAAUGGAAAAAUGGACAUUAUUUGAGUUUAAGUUGCUAUAAACAGUUCAGGUGAAUAUUGAGAUCGAAAUAAAUAUACCCUCAAAAACAACACACCUUUUAUCAUUUAAUUUGCUG
rnacentral:lncRNA from 1 species